rnacentral:rRNA from 1 species
GACGAACGCUGGCGGCGUGCCUAAUACAUGCAAGUAGAACGCUGAAGGAAGGAGCUUGCUCUUUCUGGAUGAGUUGCGAACGGGUGAGUAACGCGUAGGUAACCUGCCUGGUAGCGGGGGAUAACUAUUGGAAACGAUAGCUAAUACCGCAUAAAAUUGAUUAUUGCAUGAUAGUCAAUUAAAAGGUGCAACUGCACCACUACCAGAUGGACCUGCGUUGUAUUAGCUAGUUGGUGGGGUAACGGCUCACCAAGGCGACGAUACAUAGCCGACCUGAGAGGGUGAUCGGCCACACUGGGACUGAGACACGGCCCAGACUCCUACGGGAGGCAGCAGUAGGGAAUCUUCGGCAAUGGACGGAAGUCUGACCGAGCAACGCCGCGGGAGUGAAGAAGGUUGUCGGAUCGUAAAGCUCUGUUGUAAGAGAAGAACGAGUGUGAGAGUGGAAAGUUCACACUGUGACGGUAUCUUACCAGAAAGGGACGGCUAACUACGUG